GUUGAAUGCUGGCGGCGUGCCUAAUACAUGCAAGUCGAGCGAACCGGGGACGGGUGAGUCACACGUGGAUACCUUCCUAUAAGACUGGCAUCACUCAGGGAAACCGGAGCUCAAUCGGAUACUUGUAGAUGGAUCCGCGCUGCAUUAGCUAGUUGGUAAGGUAACGGCUUACCAAGGCAACGAUGCAUAGCCGACCUGAGAGGUUGAUCGGCAACACUGGAACUGAGACACGGUCCAGACUCCUACGGGAGGCAGCAGUAGGGAAUCUUCCGCAAUGGGCGAAAGCCUGACGGAGCAACGCCGCGUGAGUGAUGAAGGUCUUCGGAGCGUAAAACUCUGUUAUUAGGGAAGCGUUACCUAAUCAGAAAGCCACGGCUAACUACGUGACAGCCGCCGCGGUAAUUC
rnacentral:rRNA from 1 species